UAGAGUCCCAAAACUGCCCAGAAAGUGGUUUUUAGGCAGUUUUGAGUGUUUAGUUGCUGUUUUGAUUCUUUUGGUUCGUUUUAGUAUUUUAACGUGAGUUUUGCAUUCUUUGAGUCUAAUCUAGUGCUUUAAACUUUGUUUUUACAUUUCUAAGUCAGUUUUCAAGUGUUUAGCAAUCCCUCCUAAUCCCCGGUCUAAAACGAUCCCUAUUUACAUACUUUGCUACAAUUGAUAAAAAGAGGGUUUAAUUUUGUGUGUUAACUUAUUUUUCACAUCAGUGCAAUGAUUCAAUGUAAUGAUGCAUGAAAUCUAAAAUGAUGGAGGGAACAAGGAAUGGUGUAGCAAUUAAGUGCAAUGAUUCAAUGUAAUGAUGCAUGAAAUAUGAAAUAAUGAAGGGGACAAGGGCGAUUAUGCAUGGCAUGGGUGGAAAGGUGAGUAAGUGGUGAAUCAAUGAGUGCAAGGAGGUUAAAGGAUAUUGUGCACAUGGUAGACAAAGGAAAGGAAGUGGAAUGAUGCAACAAAUGAGUCAAUGGAGGGAACAUGGAUGAUGAUGCACGGCAUAUAGGAAUCCAAAGGGAGUGCAAUGGUGGUGCACGGGAAUGAUGGAAAGGUGAAUGGUGGAGUGACACCCCUUUGUGGCUGAGCUCUGAUAGGAGCAUAUUUAUGCGACUGAGUUAGCUUGUUCUCAUGCAUUUAUGUUGUUAUUUCUUAGUUAAUUAUGUAUUUUAAGCUAUUUUCGUGUGUUUGUAGGUCCAUAGGCCUUAUAAAUCAAUAAGAUGCAUUUUGGAGUAGUUUUGGGCUUGGAAUGAAUAGCACAUGCAUGGAGCAAGGUGGAUGGAUGAAAUUGAAGACUAAAGAGGCUAGAAAUGUGUUAAAGAGAAAGAAGAAUUAAUGUAAAAAGGACAAAGAGCUCAGCCACAAAGGGGUGUCACUCCACCAUUCACCUUUCCAUCAUUGUCGUGCACCACCAUUGCACUCCCUUUGGAUUCCUAUGCCGUACAUCAUCAUCCAUGUUCCCUCCAUUGACUCAUUUGUUGCAUCAUUCCACUUCCUCUCCUUUGUCUUGUUGGAAAUAUGCCCUGAAAGUCAAUCUUUGGAAGAAACCUUUCAGGACAAAUGAAUCGAUGUAUAGAUGACUCUUAUACAUCAAAUGGCAAAGAUACUAAUUAGGACUAUCUCAAUAAACGAUAUAUGUCCUAAAUAAUGAAUCCAUGGACAAUGGAUCGAUUGAAGAAGUAAUCUAAUGAUGUUAGACUACAGAGACCUUCUUCACAUAACCAUUAUGUCCAAAAAGGUUCCUGGUCAUUGGAUUGUAUGAGGGAAACUAACAAUGCUUAGACCGGUACAUACUGUGUCCGCUUCAAAUGGAAGAAUGGAAAGUCUCAUCCCAUUUGUGUAGUGACACUAAGACAAGUAUGUAGGUGCUCAUUAAGGGAAUGAGUUCACUGAACACAAUCGAACGAGAGUACUUGCAUGGAGGUCUACUCACAUGUCAAGCAAGUAACUCUAAUGGUUGGAAUAAUGUAAGUAGUCCUUUGACCUGAGGCAUCGUCGUUGUCUUGUGGCUAAGUACUUAAUCUUUGAUUAUGUCAAAGUCACCCCAUUCGUGGGUGUCCACGGCAUAAUUGGGGUUAAGCCACUUAGUCAUGAAGGCAAGUGAAUGCGCAACAAGGAAUCUCUAAUCCUCGAUAAGAGAGGAAGAAUACUCUAAGAUAUGAUUCGGGAACCUUCGGCCGAAGUAUCGAGCGUAAUAAAGGAAAGCGUUCCUAUACGACUCAAUAGAAUCAUAUAAGAAGGAAUAAUCACAUUAGGGGUUUGACAUAAUAUAUCCAUACCCUAGUAAUGUGAUUGAGAGUAUUGUUUUAGAGAAGGAUCGAAUUACAUUGUAAUUCCAACUGAAUAGGUUCUCCGAACAACUUCUACAUUAGCUUGGGUAGCUAUGACAUAUGGUUAGAUGUCACUCAUAGCUUGUGAGUUCUUCUAGAUGAUUAAAUGUAGUCAUCAAAGAAGAAAGGUGAAUUAAAAGGAAGUUUUAAUUCACUAAGUGAUUGGAUUAAAUAUAAUCAAUUGGAUUGAUGUCAAUCACCUCACUGCCUUGCUAAUUAGAACCUAAAAUGAUUGUACACCGAUACACUCUUGUAGUGAGUAAUUAAUGGAUGAUGGAAAUAAUUAAUUGGAUUAAUUAAGUGUUGUGAUUAAUUUAGAAAGUCUAAAGAAAUCAUAAAAGCGAUAAAAGAUCGUUUUGGGCUUAAAGAAACGUUCGGGUUUAAUUGGGUCCAUUGGGCCUAAACCCAUUGGGCUUUUAUUCAAGCAUUGGAUGACUAGAAAUAAAUAAAAGCCCAAAGCCCAAACCAACACAAAGGGGCCGGCCAUUUAAAGUGGAGAGGGAGAGAUAUUAAGUCAAUUUGUUGACUAGGUUUCUUUUUGUCUAUAUAAGGAACUUUAUAGAGAUUUAUUCCUUAAUGGUUUUUGUGUGUUUUAAAACAACAAAGAGGCAAAAUAAACAUCUCUCUAAAAACACCAAAGGUCGGCCACCUUGAGGGUGAUUUAGCUAACAAUCUUUCACCCUUUUGGUUAUUCCUCCAUCCAUCUCACUACACUAGUGGGUGUGGAUAUUUAGAGGUCUUCUCCUUUGGAGACUAAAGGAGAACCUUGGAGCACUCUUACUAACAAAGUGGAGGAGGCAAGGAGGGAGGCUAGGCUCAAGGACUUCAAGGAGCAAAGGGCUUGGAGGUGGUCCAUCCUUGGUCUAAAAUCAAGAUCAAGAGGUAUAGAUCUAUACCUUCACUUAGUUCUUAACUUGAAUGUUUUAGAUGCAUUAUAUAUAAACCUAUGAAGCUUGAAGGGGAUUUGCAUGACUAUAGCUUUGAUAUUAUUUGAUAACAUGCUUCCGUUGCUUAUGUAUAUAAAUUUUGAAUUGUAUAUGCAUGCUAGUCAUUUCGAAAUCCCAUGUGUAAAACUCAUAGAUUUCCCUUCAUGUCUACCAUGUGCACAAUAUCCUUUCACCUCCUUGCACUCAUUGAUUCACCACUUACUCACCUUUCCACCCAUGCCAUGCAUAAUCACCCUUGUCCCCUUCAUUAUUUCAUAUUUCAUGCAUCAUUACAUUGAAUCAUCGCACUUAAUUGCUAGAUUAUGUGUGCAAUAUAAUUUGAUAAAUUCCAGUUAUGAACUCUUGAAUCGUCAAUGCAAUUGGCUUAACUAUUUGAUUGAUAACUUAUUUGUAUUUGUUAUACCAAAAGUACCAAAAGUACCAAAAGUACCAAAAGUAUUUGUUAUGAACUCUUACUACUCUUCUUUCACAGGUGGUUGAAAUACCAAAAGUACAAAGUGUAGCUGCUUGUGGCGUGUGCUUAAUGCAAGGAUAUCUCACGGAUAAGUGCCCUCAAUUGAUCAGGAAUGAAGGGUGAGAAUUUGAGAAUUUGCCAAUGCCGUGGGUUUUCAAGGCCGCAAUCAGCAACAUAAUGACCCCUACUCCAACACUUACAAUCCAGGAUGGAGAGAUCAUCCAAAUUUCAAGUAGAGAGAACCACAACAAUCUGCCCAACAAGGAGGAUUUCGGCCACAACCCCCUGGGAUAUAUCAAAGGCCAUAUGUACCCACUCAAGUCCAACCACAAUCUACCCAAACCAAUUCAGGUACAUCCAUGGAUAAUUAUCAAAUUGUUCAAUUACUAACUUCCUUAGUGCAAGGGCAGCAAAAUCAAAAUAAAAACAAUGCUCAAUCAAGCUAAGGAGGUGGAUGAAUUGAAGAAACAAAUGGGCCAAAUGGCGGAGUUCAUGGGGCAAAUCAAAGAGCAAGGCAAACUGCCUAGCACAACCAUUGUGAAUCCAAGGGAAGGAUUUGAAUCCGUAAAAGCCAUUACCUUGAAAAGUGGAAAAGAAGUUGGAAUGGACCCCCAACCAUCAAAAUCUACCCAAACGGAGGACGAGAAGCUGCAACAAGAGGAGGAUGUCCAACACACACCCAUGGCAAGGAAGGAAACAACCUUACCGUGCACUCCUACACUCCCUAAUCCAUCCAAUCUGUCCACCACAGGUAAGAAAGGUUCCAAUUCAGUUAAUUCUAACAUUAUUCCACAAAAUGAACCUUUCCCUCACAGAUUCAUGCAAACACAGAAUGAAGAAAGUGAAAAAGACAUCCUUGAAACAUUCAGAAAAGUACAAGUCAAUAUUCCACUCUUACAUGCCAUCAAACAAAUCCCGAAGUACGCUAAGUUUUUAGAGAAGCUUUGCACAACAAGGAACCGGAUUCGGGAGAAAGAGGUGGUACAUGUGAAUGAGAAUGUCUCUGCAAUGUUGCAAAGGAAGCUGCUACCCAAAUGCAUAGAUCCAAGUAGUUUCACUAUCCCUUGUGUUAUUGGAAAUACGAGGUUUGAACAUGCUAUGCUAGAUCUAGGUGCAUCAAUUAAUGUCAUGCCAUAUACUGUUUAUGCAUCUAUGAAUCUAGGAGAGCUUAAACAUGAUGGUGUUGUUAUUCAACUAGCCAAUCGAUCUAAUGCCUACCCGAAAGGAGUUUUGAAGGAUGUUUUGGUGCAGGUAGACCAAUUGAUUUUUCAAGCAGAUUUCUAUGUGCUUGACAUGGAGGAUGCAGCCCACUCUCCACCACCAUCAAUCUUACUUGGAAGACCUUUCAUGAAAACAGCUCAAACUAAGAUUGAUGUGCCCAAGGGAGCAUUAACAAUGGCAUUUGGUGGUGAUAUGAUGAUUCACUUUAAAAUUCCUGAAUCUAAUGUGAAUCUUAAUGAUGUUUGUUCUUGUUUUGCCAUUGAUGUAGUUGAAAACAUAGGACAAGAACCUUCCGCACCAACUAAGAAGGAUGAAUUUCUAACCACCAACGAAGAAGAAAUUGGAGUGGAGCACAAAGAACACACCACUAACCUCCAAAUGCAUAAUCUGGCCGAAAGCACAUUUGGAAAAUCUGUUGACAGUGCUGCCACUUCAUUGUAACACAUUGGUAAACCACCUAUUCCAAUUUCGAUUCCCAUUUCAACUAAUAGGUUGUUACCUUGUAUGGUGCAGGUCCCCAAUCGAAUCCAAGCUGGUGGGAAUGAUUACAUUGACUUAAGGAUGCUCAACGCCCCAAUCGGGAAGGAUUACUAUGCCCUUCCAUUCAUAGAGCCAAUGUAUGAGUAUUUUGAGGAGCAUGCCGUAGAGCACAUUGAUUGGAGCAUAUUUAUGCGACUUAGUUAACAUGUUUUCUUGCAUUUACUUAGUUAGUUAUUGCUUAUAAGAGUGUUUUAAGCUAUUUUCGUGUGUUUUGUAGGUCCUAAUAACUAAGUUGGAAAGAAAGUGCAUUUUGGUGCAAUUUGGAGCAAUUUUGGGCCAAAAUGGAUUGCAUGCAUAUGGA
rnacentral:lncRNA from 1 species